AAUGCAGUUAACACAUUAAGUGUACCGCCUGGGGAGUACGGUCGCAAAGAUUAAAACUCAAAGGAAUAGACGGGGACCCGCACAAGCGGUGGAGCAUGUGGUUUAAUUCGACGAUACGCGAAGAACCUUACCUGGACUUGACAUAGUAAGAACAAUUAAGAGAUUGAUUGGUGUCUGCUUGCAGAAACUUAUAUACAGGUGCUGCACGGCUGUCGUCAGCUCGUGUCGUGAGAUGUUGGGUUAAGUCCCGCAACGAGCGCAACCCUCGUGUUUAGUUGCUAACAGUUCGGCUGAGAACUCUAAACAGACUGCCUGGGUAACCAGGAGGAAGGUGAGGACGACGUCAAGUCAUCAUGGCCCUUACGUCCAGGGCUACACACGUGCUACAAUGGGGUAUACAAAGAGCAGCGAUACGGUGACGUGGAGCAAAUCUCAAAAAUAUCUCCCAGUUCGGAUAGUACUCUGCAACUCGAGUGCUUGAAGUUGGAAUCGCUAGUAAUCGUAGAUCAGCAAUGCUACGGUGAAUACGUUCCCGGGUCUUGUACACACCGCCCGU
rnacentral:rRNA from 1 species